CCUUUCCUUCCAUUUUUUUUUUAAAGAUAUGAGUAUGUGUUUCAGAGAAACAAAUACUUUCAUAUCUUCUUGAAAUUCUGUAUGAGUUUCUUGUAGCUGCUGUAGCAAAUUACUACAAACUCGGAGGCUGAAAUCAACUGGAAUACACUUUCUCCUUUCUGGAGGGCAGAAGUCUGAAAUCAGUACCUUCUGCUGGAAAUGGAGGUGUCCGCAGGUUGAUGGAAAGGAAAGAAAGAGCAACUCUAAAGGAGAGAGAAGAUAGUUCAGCCUUUCCUUGCCUGUUAAUUCCUUCCCGAAUGGAGACUACGGAAAUGAAGUUAGACAAAAAGCAAAUUCGAGAGAUUUUCUUUUU
ensembl:lncRNA